rnacentral:rRNA from 1 species
UACAGAGGGUGCGAGCGUUAAUCGGAAUUACUGGGCGUAAAGCGCGCGUAGGCGGCUUUGCAAGUCGGGUGUGAAAGCCCCGGGCUCAACCUGGGAAUUGCAUUCGAGACUGAAUAGCUAGGGUACGGUAGAGGGAAGCGGAGUUCCGGGUGUAGCGGUGAAAUGCGUAGAUAUCCGGAGGAACACCGGUGGCGAAGGCGGCUUCCUGGACCGACACUGACGCUGAGGCGCGAAAGCUAGGGGAGCAAACGGG